rnacentral:tRNA from 1 species
GGGCCCGUAGCUCAAUUGGUUAGAGCCGGCGGCUCAUAACCGCUUGGUUGGGGGUUCGAGUCCCUCCGGGCCCACCA